GUGGGGAAUAUUGGACAAUGGGCGAAAGCCUGAUCCAGCAAUGCCGCGUGAGUGAUGAAGGCCUUAGGGUUGUAAAGCUCUUUUACCAGGGAUGAUAAUGACAGUACCUGGAGAAUAAGCUCCGGCUAACUCCGUGCCAGCAGCCGCGGUAAUACGGAGGGAGCUAGCGUUGUUCGGAAUUACUGGGCGUAAAGCGCACGUAGGCGGCGAUUCAAGUCAGAGGUGAAAGCCCGGGGCUCAACCCCGGAACUGCCUUUGAAACUAGAUUGCUAGAAUCCUGGAGAGGUUAGUGGAAUUCCGAGUGUAGAGGUGAAAUUCGUAGAUAUUCGGAAGAACACCAGUGGCGAAGGCGACUAACUGGACAGGUAUUGACGCUGAGGUGCGAAAGCGUGGGGAGCAAACAGGAUUAGAAACCCUGGUAGUCC
rnacentral:rRNA from 1 species